rnacentral:lncRNA from 1 species
AAAAGCGGAAAGAGAUCAUAUGGAGUCUCAUGGUGGAAAAUUCCAGUGUCCUAAAUGCAAGCGUUGCUUUGAAACCACAAAGCAAAGAGAGGAUCAUCUCAACAUUGGAAGGUGCAAGAAAGCAUGAACUUCUCAUUAUUAUAUAGUUAUGUUUAGAACAUGCACUUCUUUCUUUUAUUUAUUACUUGUCUAUUGUUUAAAAUAAUGGAUUGUCCCUCUUAUAGGAGAACAUUUGGUCUUAGUUUUAUAAGUUUGUCUUUAAUUCCGUAAAAUUCUUAAGGAAAG